ACCCACCAUCGGCGCCAAACCCCGUGGUGCCGUCUUGCCAGCCGCCUUUGGCACGCCCAUCGCAUGCCCAUCGCAUGCAGCCACACGCCUGUACAAAAAUCUACUCUAGCCAACGUCUGGACCAAAUAGCACCAAACAACACGACGCUUGUCUUAACACCCCGUGAUAGGAUAUGCCUAGGCGUCCAACCAAAAUAUUCAGCCAACUAAGGUCGCUAACCUCCAGGAAUAAAGCUGUACACCACAAACGCACACGCACACGCACGCGCACACAUUCUCCGCCAAGGUAAGCCUUCAAGAACAGGCCACCUGUACCGCCUUUGCCAUGUAACUUACAGAUUAGCAAGCUACGGACUGGCCCUGGUAAGAGCCAGCAAGCUACACCCAAUCCCAAAGUUGUCUACCAACAACGCCUAGCCCUAUUUUGGUGCCUUCCACACAAAUUGCUUGCCACGAAGCUCCUCCCCGGCCUUGGCUUGGACGGCAGUAGGGCAGAUGCACGCUACCCAUCAGCGGCCCUGCGCCGCGCGUAUAUCGAGGAUGGACGCACGAAAACCGGUUCCCGCCGCUGCCGCCGUGGAUAGCAGGCCGCGCGCAAUGCUGCUCGCCCCUGUCCCUGUCCCACCUGCCCAUCCUCCAGACGUCGGUCGCCCCGGGAUGUGUCUUUCGCCCUGCAGGACCCCCCCCCCUGCCAUCCGCCCACUGACUGCUGCCUGCUGUUGUCCCAAGCUGGCUUGUGUGCUCCCUGCCCCAUCCCCAACAUUAACCUUCCCACCGGUAGCCUGGGGUGAUGAGCCCCAAGCCCAGUUCCUGCCCUUGGCUGAAGCAUGCCGUGCCCCGGGUGUCGUGCCACUAAUCCAGAAGGGAACCGC
rnacentral:lncRNA from 1 species